UCUAUCUCUCAUCUUUGGCCACAUCAUUUUUUUUUAAAACAACAAGUAUCAAACUUUCCUAUUUAAAGCAUCGGCCUUCAUCAUCUGAUUUUUCGAAACAUGCCAAAAACACAGCAAGCUUUAAAAUUAUUUGUGCUCUUUUCUCUGCACAAGGUAAUUUUAUUAUUUCUGUAAAUUUUUCAUUCUUCUCCAGUUCACUACUGUAUCCCAUAUUUUGUGCAGAGAUAAUUUUUAAUAAUCUUUAAACUCUCACAAUUCAUUUUACUCUCAAAUUCCAAAAUCCCCAACAUCUUCAAUUCAAAAGCAAACAGAAGAUUCAAAAGCAAACUUUGAUCAGCAAGCCAAAUUUGAUUUCCACAGCAGCAAACUUUGAAACAGCAAAACUUUGAAUGAUUUCUUUCUUUCACACGUUUAUGUUCAAACAAGUAAAUUCAAUCUAUUUAAACCUCAUUGUAUCAUCCUCAAAAUUCACAAAUCCAACAAAAAACUCAACUUUUAUAAUCCAAUCUGUAAAACCCAGCAGCAACCGACUUACUUGUUCCCUUCACAGUUCACCACAAAAUUCAAUCUGCUCUUUUCACUGCAGAAUUCCAUUGGUGCGGCGCGACUAGGAUGUGAACUUUAAAUUCUUGCAGUUAAUUUUCAAAACUCAAAAGUUCAAGUUUCAGGUGUGGGAUUUAUUUCAGUACAUGCACGUGGUUAAUAUUUGUCCAUUUUAAUAUUAUGUGUUUACCGUAUGUGUUGUAAAAAUAUUUAUCGCUAGGGGCCAGCAUAAUUGGUCCAGGACUUCACCGUCCUUGGUAUGCCACAAUGCGAUUUCAUGUUACAGGGUUGCAACCAUUAUAUUGUCGCCAGGGGCCCACAUAUAGGGUCCGGGACAUUAAAGUCCUUGGAAUGCCACAGUGCGUAUGGAAGUUAUGUUACGUUAUGACAAUAUGUGUUACCAUUUUAUUAACAUGGACAAUUAUUGCAUGUUCCCACACUGAGUGUACCCUGUAUGCUCAUCCCAUAUUCAACAGUUUCAGGUGAUUGAUAUCGGAGGCGCGUGGAGAGUCGAAUGGGCGCGUCGAAUCUAUUUAAAGAUAAAUGUUUCUUAAAACAUAUUAUGUUAUUUCAUGUGAUAUCUUUUGGUUAUGUAAACUCUGAAAUUCUAUACUAUUUGAGAUUUGUGUGUGAUUUGUCUAAAUAAAUGUUAUUAUAUUAUUUUAAUGUCA